rnacentral:rRNA from 1 species
GUUUUGAUCCUGCUCAGACGAACGCUGCGGCAGGCUUAACACAUCCAGUCGAGCGCCCCGCAAGGGAGCGGCAGACGGGUGAGUAACGCGUGGGAACGUACCCUUUACUACGGAAUAACGCAGGGAAACUGUGCUAAUACCGUAUGUGCCCUUCGGGGGAAAGAUUUAUCGGUAAGGGAUCGGCCCGCGUUGGAUUAGCUAGUUGGUGGGGUAAAGGCCUACCAAGGCGACGAUCCAUAGCUGGUCUGAGAGGAUGAUCAGCCACAUUGGGACUGAGACACGGCCCAAACUCCUACGGGAGGCAGCAGUGGGGAAUAUUGGACAAUGGGCGCAAGCCUGAUCCAGCCAUGCCGCGUGAGUGAUGAAGGCCCUAGGGUUGUAAAGCUCUUUCACCGGAGAAGAUAAUGACGGUAUCCGGAGAAGAAGCCCCGG